GAUGAAGACUGGUGCUUGCACUGGUUGGAUUAGUGGCGAACGGGUGAGUAAUACGUGAGUAACCUGCCUUUGACUCUGGGAUAAGCCUGGGAAACUGGGUCUAAUACCGGAUAUGACAAGGAACCGCAUGGUUUUUUGUGGAAAGGGUUUGUACUGGUUUUAGAUGGGCUCACGGCCUAUCAGCUUGUUGGUGGGGUAAUGGCUCACCAAGGCGACGACGGGUAGCCGGCCUGAGAGGGUGACCGGCCACACUGGGACUGAGACACGGCCCAGACUCCUACGGGAGGCAGCAGUGGGGAAUAUUGCACAAUGGGCGCAAGCCUGAUGCAGCGACGCCGCGUGAGGGAUGACGGCCUUCGGGUUGUAAACCUCUUUCAGCAGGGAAGAAGCGAAAGUGACGGUACCUGCAGAAGAAGCGCCGGCUAACUACGUGCCAGCAGCCGCGGUAAUACGUAGGGCGCGAGCGUUGUCCGGAAAUUAUUGGGCGUAAAGAGCUUGUAGGCGGUUUGUUGCGUCUGCUGUGAAAGACCGGGGCUUAACCCCGGUAUUGCAGUGGGUACGGGCAGACUAGAGUGCAGUAGGGGAGACUGGAAUUCCUGGUGUAGCGGUGAAAUGCGCAGAUAUCAGGAGGAACACCGAUGGCGAAGGCAGGUCUCUGGGCUGUAACUGACGCUGAGAAGCGAAAGCAUGGGGAGCGAACAGGAUUAGAUACCCUGGUAGUCCAUGCCGUAAACGUUGGGCACUAGGUGUGGGGGACAUUCCACGUUUUCCGCGCCGUAGCUAACGCAUUAAGUGCCCCGCCUGGGGAGUACGGCCGCAAGGCUAAAACUCAAAGGAAUUGACGGGGGCCCGCACAAGCGGCGGAGCAUGCGGAUUAAUUCGAUGCAACGCGAAGAACCUUACCAAGGCUUGACAUAUACUGGACCGCCUCAGAGAUGGGGUUUCCCUUCGGGGCUGGUAUACAGGUGGUGCAUGGUUGUCGUCAGCUCGUGUCGUGAGAUGUUGGGUUAAGUCCCGCAACGAGCGCAACCCUCGUUCUAUGUUGCCAGCACGUUAUGGUGGGGACUCAUAGGAGACUGCCGGGGUCAACUCGGAGGAAGGUGGGGAUGACGUCAAAUCAUCAUGCCCCUUAUGUCUUGGGCUUCACGCAUGCUACAAUGGCCGGUACAAAGGGUUGCGAUACUGUGAGGUUGAGCUAAUCCCAAAAAGCCGGUCUCAGUUCGGAUUGGGGUCUGCAACUCGACCCCAUGAAGUCGGAGUCGCUAGUAAUCGCAGAUCAGCAACGCUGCGGUGAAUACGUUCCCGGGCCUUGUACACACCGCCCGUCAAGUCACGAAAGUUGGUAACACCCGAAGCCGAUGGCCUAACCCU
rnacentral:rRNA from 1 species